UGAAAUUUCGGAGCUUAACUCCGAAACUGCAUUCGAUACUGCGGUGCUUGAGGACUGGAGAGGAGACUGGAAUUCAUGGUGUAGCAGUGAAAUGCGUAGAGAUCAUGAGGAAGACCAGUGGCGAAGGCGGGUCUCUGGACAGUUCCUGACACUGAGGCACGAAGGCCAGGGGAGCAAACGGGAUUAGAUACCCCGGUAGUCCUGGCAGUAAACGGUGCACGUUUGGUGUGGGAGGAUUCGACCCCUUCUGCGCCGGAGCUAACGCGUUAAACGUGCCGCCUGGGGAGUACGGUCGCAAGAUUAAAACUCAAAGAAAUUGACGGGGGCCCGCACAAGCGGUGGAGUAUGUGGCUUAAUUCGAUGCAACGCGAAGAACCUUACCUGGCCUUGACAUGCAUCUCUAAGCUGGUGAAAGCCAGUGAGUCUCGAAAGAGACAAUUUGCACAGGUGCUGCAUGGCUGUCGUCAGCUCGUGUCGUGAGAUGUUGGGUUAAGUCCCGCAACGAGCGCAACCCCUGUGAACUGUUGCCACCGACCCGCGAGGGUCGAGCACUCUGUUCAGACUGCCCUGUGAAACGGGGAGGAAGGUGGGGACGACGUCAAGUCAGUAUGGCCCUUACGGCCAGGGCUGCACACGUACUACAAUGCCCAGUACAAAACGAUCCGAGACCGCGAGGUGGAGGAAAUCUAUUGAAAACUGGGCCCAGUUCGGAUUGGAGUCUGCAACUCGACUCCAUGAAGCCGGAAUCGCUAGUAAUGGCGCAUCAGCUACGGCGCCGUGAAUACGUUCCCGGGCCUUGUACACACCGCCCGUCACAUCAUGGAAGUCACUUGUAGCCGAAGCCGGUGCGCUAACCCGCAAGGGAAGCAGCCUUCUACGCUAUGAGCGGUAACUGGGAUGAAGUCGUAACAAGGUAGCCGUAGGGGAACCUGCGGCUGGAUCACCUCCUUUCUA
rnacentral:rRNA from 1 species